rnacentral:lncRNA from 1 species
UAUAUAUAUAUAUAUAUAUAUAUAACCCUAGUUCACUUUAUUCACCCUCAGAAGCGCCUCAACCCCAUGUGGUGCCCUUAGCUUUGCCCCCUCUCGCGCGACUCUGUCACCCUCUGUGCCCCCUACGUUGCUCGCACCUCCCUCUCCUCUCCUCCCCAUUCAGUGCACGUGCCCCCUCUAAUCUGUGUUGUGUGGCGCUUGUGCCCCCUCUCACUGUCUACCUCUUGCGCAUGGAGCACGGUAGCCGGUGGUAGCCCUCUCUGUCUCUCUAACACGGAGCAUGGUGGCUGGCAGUGGCCCUCUCUGUCUCUCUUGCAUGUGGAAUGGUGGAUCCCAAUGCCCGAAGGACCACAGAGGUGGAUCCCGGUGGCCACCACCAUAUCCAGCGAGGAUGAGCCUGAUCCAGCAGCGACAUAGCUCAAACAGCCAAACCCUAGUGGUCAGAGGAGAACGAAGGUGGAUCCCAAUGGCCACCACCAAAUUUGACGAGGAGGUACUCGGAUCCGGCGAGGAGUAGCCUGAUCUGGCAGCGGCAUAGCUCCAACGGCUGAAUCCCGGCAACUAGAGGAGCACGGAGGUGGAUCCCGACAGUCACCACUAGAUCCGCCGAGGAGGAUCCUGAUCCAACGGUGGGCGGGCAGAUCCGUGCGGUGUGUGCGGUUCUGCGAGGAAGCAAGUGCCAGUGAAUGGUGGCGGUGGUGGGGGCGCAUGGAUGGGCUCACGGGGCCCGUGGAUGGGCUUGGUGGGCUCAGGUUUUUCUUUUUUAUUAUUAUUAUUUUUGGUCGAUUAACCAAGGUGAGAAAGGCAAUUGCCUCCGUUAAGCCUCUAUUAGCCAAGGCCUUUGAUUGGAGGCGGUUGCAAUGCCCAUCUCCAUUAACCCUUUUUGCCCACCUCCAUAGAAUACUACAGUAGUGGGCCAUAGGCCAUAUAAUGUGUUGGAGUUCCUUAGCAGCGUGAAUAGGGUCCUUUAUUGGCCACCCCUUAAACUAUAUAUUUAGUAGCCAAUCCUUAAUUAGGGUUUAUAUUUUGCUUAGACUAAUUCAUGAUCGAACAGUUUCAUUUGCCAUAUAUUGUUUUGUGGAACCCCAACUUCUGAACUUCAUAUAAAUCUGCAAUAUUUUUCCAGUUCACACGCAUGGAUAAGCCUUCUAAGUGGCUUCAAUUGGGAAUUGCAUAGUUGAUAACUAGUGAAGACAUAGUGCUAAAGGUACAGGUCUAGGUUGUUGUGAUGCAAACCCACAGUGUACAGUAGAAACAGUGAGCAUGUAUCUUGUCUGCUCUAGUUGUACCCAACAGUCCUGUAAAAACACUUCAGUUUAGUCCUUGUUUAGUUCUUAAAAAUUUUCAAGUUUUUCUAUCACAUCAAAUAUUUGAACGUAUAUAUGAAGUAUUAAAUAUAGAUUAAAAAAUUACUAAUUGCACAUGUGAUUUGCGAGACGAAUUUUUUUAAGCCUAAAUAGUCCAUGGUUGGAUAAUAAUUACCUAAUACAAACGAAAGUGCUAUAAUAACCAAAUCUAAAAAAAUCAUAAACUAAAUAAGGCUUUAGGCUAAUUCUGUUCGCCUAGCAAUAUUUCUCUCAUAAUAAAUCAACGAUUUCGGAGCUUUUGCGAACAGACCUGUCCUACGCUUGUCUUGACAGCGAUCAUUAUGUGCCUAGACUAGACGCGUGACUUUUGCCAACAUGAGCAGUAGUAGUUGUCUACAGCUAGAUUCUUCCUGUUGCACAUACCAGCCGGUCCAGCCCAUUCAAAGACAGUAUCACACCGACACUGACUGAAACAGAGCUCCUUGUCCUUGGAUGUCACGGGGAAUUCUCGGUUCUGAUGAUAUUGAUUUGUGCUUUAUUUCCACACGUUACUAUGUUUGUAAUGACUUUUUCUCUCGAAGUAUUAUCAAUGUUGCCGAGACAAUUUCACGGGAUACAUCAUUUAAGCGGUCUCAAUGCUAAGUUUCAUCUUUCAGUUUCUAAAAUAUGAAACUUUGAGAUAAAAUUAAUCUAUUUCUCAGUGUAUAGUUUUAUUGCAUAGUUUUAUAGAUUAUUUUUAGUCUGUUGUGGGUUCCAUCGUCACUCUCUUUUCUCUCUUUCCUCACCGACGCCAUGGCCAAACACCGCAAUAUUGUUCCGCUCUGUGGCUACCACGAAGCAACGCACUUCAACCUCCUCAUCUAUGAGCUGAUGCCCAACGCGAGCCUGGACCAGGUGCUGCAUCUACAUGCGAACCACCAGUUCUGCCUCCUCGGUAGGCUUCCUCGCUGUAGAGCCACGCGGAGGGGCUCGGCGGCCGGAGGAGCCCGCGGCUGAGCUCGUGAAGCCCACGGCAGUGGAGCAAGCACCCACGACAGCGGAGCUCGCACGCAUAGAGCAGGCACCCGCGACGCCUCACCCACCUCCGGCGGUUUUCUCACGACGAAGGUGCACGCCUGACAGUCUCGUUUGCAAUAGAGGCGCGCCCCGCAGCUUUGCCCGCGCCCAGCAGGUGUGCUCGUGGCGGAGGUGCCUCACCUAUAUCCGGUGGCCUCACUAGAGGCGGAGAUGCACCCGACGGCCUCGCCCGCUUCUGACGAUGGCAAGCUCGCUGUCCUCGUACACGAAGGAAGAAGAAGCUGCGAUGAAACGAACUGAGGCUCUCAACGCGCAUUUCACACAGUUUCUGAGUCCUUGGAAACGCCGCUGGGUCGUUUCAAUGGGAUGAAACGAUUCCUUCUCUCUUUGCUCUCACUCUGCUCUAGUUUCAUGCAAAAACUCCAAAUUUACUGAUGUGGCAUCCUAUUUAAUAUGCAUGAAAUUCCCUAUGAAAUUCCAUUGAGACUAGCCUUAGGCUCAGUGUAGGUUUUAUAGCUUAGUUUUCAAAACAUCCAUAUUUUAGAAACAGUACAGAAAGUUUUAACUCUUAUCACCUCUCUAUUCAUUAAUACGGUGGUCUAACAUGUUCUUAAUGUAAUCUCUCUCCCCUGCCAUCCUGUAACUUGAAUUCGCUAGGACACUCUCAUACAGACUUAGCAUAAUUUUUAUGGUCAUUUAUUACCUUGCUAUUUAUUAAGUUUUCCUGACGUGGCAUUGUAUUUAUCGAAAAAAGAGAAAAAAGAGCAAGAAACGAAGUCUAAGUUAGACGCGAUGUCUACAAGGUAUCGAGGCAGAAGAAACCACACUCGUUCUCAUUGCGUAAGCAGUGGUGGACCCAGGAUUUGGUUAGGACUAGGACCAAAUUCUAGUAGCGAAAAGCCAAAAACUACACUGUUGUUUAUAUAAUCUAUGUAUAAAACUUGUUAUUACAAAGAAAAUUUUUUAGAUCAGAAAUUCUCCAACUACAUAUUGCCAUACAAUUUAUAAGAAUACAACAUUGAACUACAAAAAUAAAUACUUAGCAAUAACAAGAAUAUAACAUUGAACUACAAAAAUAAAUACCUAGCAAUGAUAUGCUACAUUCGCAUUUUCAUGUCCUUUUCAGUAACGCCUAAAUCUAGACACAAGAUGUGAGAGUUAAUUAAUUAAAAAAGACAAACAAAAAAGUAAGUUUACUGUAGUUAAAGCUAUUGGGCUAAGGCCAUGUUUAGUUGGAGAAAUUUUUUGGCUUUGGCUACUGUAGCACUUCGUUUGUAUUUGAUAAUUAUUAUCCAAUUUUGUAGACUAAUUAGGCUCAAAAGAUUUAUGUUGCAAAUUAUAGGCAAACGGUGUAAUUAGUUAUUUUUUAUAUCUAUAUUUAAUUCUUCAUGCAUGUGUCUAAAGAUUUGAUAUGACAAAAAAAUCUUCAAUUUUUUUGAAAAUUAAACAAGGCCUAAACUCUGAUAAAUUAAUAAGACAAUGGUCCAGAAAUUAAAGAGUUAUACCUAGAAUAUCUAGUCUACCACAUAGUAAAGCACAAAUCAAUAUCAUCAGAACCGCCAAUGGGCGGAAGAAACCAUGCCUGUCCACGUUGGGGAAGAGCGGACCGAGCCAGAAGAAACCACGCCCGUCCGUGUUGGGGAAGAUGACGGUAGUUUCCAUCGAGCAUGCAGAUCCCAUGCGCCUUCUCCCAUUCUCCCAAUGAUUAUUUCAUUAAGAAUAAACAUAAAUGUUAUUUGUCACCAUAUAUAGUUUUAUAGUUUUUCGACCAAGAAAAAAAAUCCAAGUAGCCGUUCAUUUUAAUAAAUAUAUGUUAAUGAUUCAUGCUAAUAAAUUACAAAUGUAAAUUAUACGUUUUGAUUGAAACAUAUGAUAUAUCAAUACUAGGAAUUUAGAGCCUAUUUGCUUGUCUAAAAAAUUAUAGCUGAAAAUAUUAUUUGCUAAUUUAUUAUGAGAAAAAAACACUGUUGACUGACAGAAAAAUACGGCUUAUAAAAAAAACGAAGUCUUAGUUCUAACACUCUCAUUUUUGUAGAAUAAUAUUAUAUACUUAAUAGCACUUGGAUAACCGAAACUCACCAUCUUGAGCACUAUAGGUCAUAUAGGAUGUGAGCUGAAAUGACUGUUUGUACCAUUAAAUUAACAAAGAGCAUGGUCUACGAGACAGUCAAAUUUUUGACCCAAAAAAAUAUAAAAGAAGUUUUGAAUAUAAAAUUAAUACAACAAUAAUCAGAGUUUGAACUCACACAAACAUAAAAACUAAUGAUCUAAAAAAUGGAAACUAAUAUAUAUAGACUUAUAAUGUCACAAAAAUAACGCAACAGACCAAUUAUAUAAUUUAAGCUAUGUUUUUCAACUAAAUACAUAUUAAAAACCAAUGAAGAUGUAAUACUCCCUCCAUUUCAAAUUUUAAGUCAUUCCAAGAAUCGUGUAGAGUCAAAGCAUUUUCAAGUUUGACCAAAAAUAUAGAGAGAAAUAUAAAGAUUUAUGUCAUAAAAUAGAUACACUAUACAAAUAUAACUAACAAAGAAUGUAAUGAUACUUGGUUGGUACCAAAAAUAUUAUUAUUUUACUAUAUAAAUUUGGUCAAAUUUGAAAAACUUUGACUCUCUAAGAUUCUUAGAAUGACUUAUAAUUUGGGACGGAGGGAGUAGAAAUGAUCAAUACAUAACAUAGUGUAGUUGGUACAACUAUCACGAGUGGAUAAAGUGUAUACAAGUGGGUAUAUUGUUUAAAAUAUGAAUUGAGUGUGUAAACAUAAUUGAUUUCGUCUAGUUGUACAAGCAUGCAGCAGGCUUCAGGAGUUCUUGGGCUGGGGCACAAUGGUACAUCUCCACUCCCGUGGGCCAACGUCCCAUGGGCCCAUCAUUCUUUGCGGCCCAGCCUCCGCAACACGACACUCGGAGGCCCGAGCGUGGAAGUGUGGAACGCAGGCGGCGGCGGCGGCGCUCGCAGGCUCGGCGCCUCGUUGGUUCGCCGGCUCCCUCAGGCUCCCAGUCCCGCCCUCCAGGUUGAUGUUUUCCUCAUCCACUUCCACGCCACCACACUUUCGCCUCCCCUUGAUCUGCUCUGUUUGGCCCCCGCUGCCAUGCCGCCAUCAGUCUGUCACCGUGUGCCCGUCAGUCCGCCAUGAGGAGCAUGUCGUCACAAGCUCAGCAAGUCCGGCGUUCGGGCCCUUCUAAAGAGGUGCGUUGUCCAUUACCUAAUUAACUUCUCCCGUACUUAGCUGGUGACGUGAUGUGUCAUGGUGCUCUCUAGGUGCUUGUUGAAUUGCCUGUGAGUGAGUAAAAAAGGUGUGUCCACUGUCUUGCCUGUGAGUAAAUCCUACCCUGUAUAGCAAUGAUGUGGCCUGUAAGAGAUCGCAGUCUAAGUUCACCCUAGCUUUAUUCUUGGGCAGGGUCCCCCACUGAUGCAAUGUAAGAGUUUAAACAGUGGUGGAGCACAGGUUCAUGAACUAAUUUCUCUGAAUCAAAAAAAAAAGUCCAAACCACAUGCCAAAUGCAUAUAUAGUUUGGUUGAACACCAAAUAUUUUCAUGUAGUUUACUGGAAUUAGUUCACAUUUAGCUAACAAGAUAUGAAGAUUUUCUCCACUCUCCAAGUCACAUUUGUUCCCAGCAAACAUAUAGGGAUACAUUCAGUGCAGUGAAAAAAAUAUUGGCAUAAAUCUUUUUUAAAAAAGCACCAUGAUCAUUAUUUCAACGUAGCAUUGCACCAUGAUUACUAAGGAUCCAGUUGGCUGAGCUCCCAAAGUAGGUUUCCAUCUGAAUUCAGAAACCUUUGCUACACACACACACACAGAGAGAGAGAGACAAAAAAAAACCCUCACUUCUGACUCACUUAUCGCAUGUAAUCAUUUUUUUACAUAUAGUUUAUCACAUAUAGAGAAUGCAAUGUGAACUUUCAGGUAGAGAAUCACUUCUCGAAAGCAUAGAAUUAGAAGCAUAGGGAGCUCUAUCAAAACAGGCACUAAAAGUUAUUGAACUAUGUGUUGAUAUAUUUUUUAACUCUGAAUACACAUCUGGAUCACUUGGCACUUGGAUUGUAUUCCAUGGAGAUCAAUACGAUCACGUACCUUCCCACCUCCAUUGUUACCUUUACCCAGCCAAACUAACACAAGCGGCCCUGAUGGAGCGCAACUCGGUGGCCGCAUCCUUCAUGCUGAGCCUCUGGAACGGCACUGCCCGCGUGCAGCUGAGCCCCACCCUCACAGCGGAGACCAGGCACUUGUGCUCUGAGAUAUGUGCACCGCCAUCGUUGGAGCCACAGGACACUUGGCCAUCAAUCCCUUCAACCAACAGAAGCGCCGGGUCAAGGACAUGCUCGAUCUUGUCUGGGAAUGACGCGGCAACGAACUCCAACAGCGUCAGCCCGUCCUUGAACGCGUCAUCUGUUGGUGACCUCCCAGUGAAGAUCUCCAGCAGUGUGAUCCCAAAACUGUAGACGUCGCCAUAUGUUGACACCUUCCCUGUCGUGCCGUACUCUGCACAGCACACAAAUUAAAGCAGGGUUGACACUGUCAUGUCAAUAUAUGUCUGGCACACAAGAUGUUGGAGUUACCUGGCGGGAUAUAUCCAAUCGUGCCUCUCAAACCACCUGUGCUUGUGGUGCUGCAAGUGUCGUGGCUCCCCGGCUCAAGAAGUAGCUUUGCCAGGCCGAAGUCACCCACCACCGCCCUCAUGUCGUCGCUGAGGAGAACGUUGCUGGGCUUAACAUCACAAUGGAUGAUCUGUGGUACGGAGUUGGUGUGGAGGUAGCACAGCGCGUCGGCGAUGUCCACGGAGAUGUUGAGCCUUUGGAUUACACUCAGGUUUUUCAUGAUCUUCAACUCUUCAGACUUGGGGUUCAUGUUCAACCACCUGUCUAGGCUGUAAUUGGGCAUGAACUCGAACACCAGGGCUCUGAAAUCGUUGCCCCUCGCAUCCACGCUGACACAACAGGUGAUUAUCCUGACAAGGUUCCGGUGCCGGAUGUUCCGCAGCGCCUCGCAUUCCGAUACAAAUGUCUUGGAGGCACCAAUCUGACAGAGGUCGAACACCUUCACCGCCACAGCGACCUUGUCGGGCGCUGAAGUACCCUUCAGUAGCAGGGGCAGGGUGCCCAGGUACACGGACCCAAACUUCCCUACACCAAUCAGGUUGGUGUCUGCGAAGCUGUUGGUCGCUUUGUCCAGUUCAGCGUAUGAUAUUCUCUGAUAGUUCAUCUCGUCCAGGACAUCAUCCAGCGUUGCAUCAUCAUCAGUUUUAAUUGCUUGUCCCGGCCUUUUCCUGUACCACUGGAACAUGCUGAGGAGUAUGGCCAAGAAGAGAGCGAUGCUUAGGACAGGCACCACUAUCUGGAGAAGCCAGCGAGUAGGGUGUGUGUUCCUGGCUGCUGGACACCGGGGCAGGUCGAGCUCCGGGAUGCCACCACAGAGGUUGGCAUUCCCUGUGAUCUUGAACCCGGAAAUGUUGGUGAAUAUGCCGCGGAGCGGUACACUGCCAUCAAGGUUGUUGUAAGAUAAGUCCAGCUCGAUCAGGGAGGUCAGGUUCUCCAAUUCCUCUGGAAUAGUUCCUGUCAAGUCGUUUCUGGACAGGUACAGCUCCUGCAGGCCGGACAUCUGGCUGAGGUCCGGUGGGAUGCUCCCUGACAGCCUGUUGCUCGCUAAGUUGAGCCUCCUAAGACCCUUGAGCUUGCUCAGCGACGGUGGGAUGCUUCCGUCGAAGAAAUUACCAUCCAGAUCAAGAAACUCCAGGCUCUUGCAGUUGUCCAGCUGUUUCGGCAGCUGACCGGAGAAUUGGUUCCCGGUCAAUACUAGCUGGGCAAGGUUGGUGAGGCCGGAGACAUCAGGGGGAAGUGGGCCGUCCAAUCGGUUGUCAGACAAGUCCAUCACCAAGGACAAGGACACCAGACUGAAGAUUUCCCUUGGCACGUGGCCAGUGAGGGCAUUGCCCGAGAGGUUGAGCGAUGUUAGGCGGUUCAGGUUGCCUAGAGUGUGAGGAAUGGAUCCAUUCAGCGUGUUACUGCUCAGAUCAAGUUGGAGCAGCUGGGUGAGGUUGCCGAUGGAGGAUGGGAUUGGCCCGGUUAACCUGUUCCCCUGCAUCCCCAACUCUAUGAGGUUCUUGAUAUUCCCAAUCCCUUCCGGGAUGGUGCUGUUGAAGAGAUUGGAUUCAAGGUCCAACAAUUGCAGCCGACGAGGUUGCCGAUACCCGGUGGAAUCGGCCCUGAUAUGCGGUUGUUUCCCAGGUAGAUCGCUUGAAUCUCCCUCGAGAGGCGGCCAAUGGAGCUUGGCAACUCGCCACCGAGCUUGUUGUUGUCAAGGGCAAGGCCCUGCAGGUUGCUGCAGUUGGUAAGAUGGUCCAGGAACUCCCAGCCUUGAUCGUCGCUCGCCGUUAGGUGGUUACCCGACAUGUAGAGCCACUGGGGGCAGAGCAUACCGAUCUCGGGAGGCACCUGCCCAGUGAAGCUGUUGUUUGCUAGGCUGAGCCACGUUAGAUUGGAGGCCUUGGCAAGUGCCGCGGGGAUGGGGCCUGUCAGAUUGUUGCCACCAAGGUAUAGGCCCCUGAGAUUGGACAUGCGCGCGCCCGCGUCCGGCGGGAGGACACCAUGGAACGCGUUGUUGGUGAGGGCAAGAAACUGGAGCGACGACAUGUUGAAGAAGCCGGGUGGGAUCUCUCCUUGCAGAAGGUUCUGGUAUGCGCUGAACGUCUGGAGGGAAGGAAGAUCCAUGAGGCCAAGGGGCAGGCUGCCUUGCAGGUAAUUCUCAUCGACCCUGAGGGCCUGGAGCUUCGUGAGGUUGCCGAGCGACGGCGGGAUCUUGCCGGACAGGGAGUUGAGGUGCAGGUACAGGUAGGUGAGGUUGGGAAACGUCCCGAGCCACGUAGGGAUGGCGCCGGUGAGGCUGUUGUUGUUGAGGUAGAGGAAUCUGAGGCUGGUGCAGCUGCGUAGGCUUUCUGGAAUCUCCCCACUGAUGCCGAUGUUGUCGCAGAGGUCGAGGUACUGUAGGCGCCGCAGACUGCCGAUGCUAUCCGGGAUGGUCCCGGAGAGCUGGUUCUUCUCGAGGACGAGGUACUCCAGGUAUGUAAGGUUGCCGAUGGCAGGGGAGAUGGUGCCGGUGAGCCCAAGGCUGGAGACGUUCAGCGACGUGACAUGCCCGUCCGUGCACGCCACGCCAGGCCACCGGCAGAAGUGCGAUGUGCUGUUCCACGACUGGAGAGCACCAGACGACGACGCGCCCGACACGCCAGCCCUGAACGCCUGCAGCGCGUCCCGCUCGAUGUUGGAGUGGGACCGCUGCACGCCUGCCGCUAACAGCAACAUGAUCAGCAGCAGAUGCAGCUGCAGUGCGUGCGUUCCAGACGUGCGUGCGCCUGCCAUGCUCUCACGGUCGGAUGCCCAGGCGCGCACAGCGCAGGUCAUCUUGUGUGAGAUUCUGCGUGGUUUCUCCUUUCUAAUGUGUGCUAAUGGCAAGGCCUUGGCAUGUGCAGGCUUAUAUGGGUGUUGUGGCGGGAAGCUGCUGCUGAUGAUGAUGAUGAGUACAAACAGAGAGCAUGCAUGUGUGUCUGCUCUUGUUUCAGAGUUGUGCUGAUCGAACAGUCCUGCAACAACUCUUCAAUUUAGGCAGGUGACUUCGUCCUACACUUGUCUUGACAGCGAUCAUUACGUGCGUAGACUUGACUAAGUGACUUUUUCUAAGUGACUUUUUCCACAUGAGUAGCGGACUAAAGCUAGACUGUUCUUGGUGUCCAUUAUUGUUUGACAAUUUUUCUUCAUGGUGAUUUGACAUACCAGCCAAUUCAAACACAGUAUGGCACUGACGACACGGACUGAAACCGAACGCGGAGUUGAUGGCGGUGGUAAUUCGGUUAUGAGGAUAUUGUCCUUUGAUCGUUCUUGCUGACUUUGCUCUUUACGUAUCAAUCCAGAGGACUGACUGGCUGAGCAUAUAUGCUGCACAUAUUUCCAUAAUUGUGCUGGCUUUUCCUCUGCAGGGAUUCUCAAGUCUGCUGAGGCAAUUUCCUGGGUUCCAUCGUGUGUCUCCUUGCUGAGCUAGAAGUUCAAAUGGGCAAGACGUUUGAAUUCUUAGCCAGCUUUACCUCAGGUUCUGCACUGGCAAGGUUUUUCUUGCCCAGACAUGCUAGCCAAUAUGGCUCGCCGAGGCGAACAAGGUUUUGCUUGCCUAGACAAGCUAGGCGAGGCUAGCUGGCCGAGAGACCAAGCAGCCUCCUAAAAUUACAACUAGGGCCUUGUUUAGUUUCACCCAAAAUUCAAAAACUUUUUAAGAUUCCGUCACAUCGAAUCGCGCGGCACAUGCAUGAAACAUUAAAUAUAGAUAAAAAAACUAAUUACAUAGUCUGUCUGUAAUUUGUGAAAUGAAUCUUUUGAGCCUAGUUAGUCCAUGGUUGGACAAUAUCAAAUACGUUUGGCUGAUAAGCCAUGGUAGAAAGUACUGUUGGCUGAUUUAUUGUGUGAGAAAAACACUGUUGAUGGCUGACAGAUUCGACUGAUAAGCUGAAGUGAACAAUAGUGAGGGAACUAAACAAGGCCGGAAACAUGCUAGUUCAUUGUGACGUACAAUUUGUUGUAUUGUAUUUAUGCGAAUAAUAAUGUGCUAAAUAUUUUUCUGGAUCCAAUUGGGUUUGGCCCAACCUUAAAUAAAAAUCUAAGAGCCAUAAUAAAUGGUAGUGCAAUAAAGGAUUGAUCUCAUAUGCAAUAACUUAAAUGGGUGGCGUUUUGUGCAUGUUGUGAUCUUAAGAAAGUAUAAGGGACCGUGACUUAAAAAAAAAUUUCAGACGAAGAUAGAUUGGCUCUGAGAGACGCGAGCGCGACUCAUCGUCGGGGAACAGGGGUCACGGUGAUGGGUUAUUUGGUCAUGGGCAUUUUGUCAUCCUCCUUCAAAAUUACUGACAUGGUCAAACAAGUCAACUAACAGAAGGAUGGAGGAAAUGGAUGGUAAUGCUAUUUAGGGGAGGCAAUUUCAGUUCGGUUCUAGACAAGAAACUUUGAUUCCGGGAGUAUCUUAGAAGAAAGAUUCAUUUUUUACGCUGCUGCAUGAUCGGGCAUUAGCACCGGUCGGAAAGGGCCUGUUGCCCCGGUUCCCGAGCCGGUGCUGCCCUUCCGGGACUAAAGGCCCACCCUUUAGUCCCGGUUCGGGCAACCGGGGCUAAAGGGCCCCCCCCGCCCUUUAACACCGGUUGGUAAUACCAACCGGUGUUAAAGGGUCCUGCCAGGGCUGCCAUGUUGCAGGACCCUUUAACACCAGUUGGUAGGGUUUUUUUUUCUUUUUUUUGUUUCACUUCUUCGGUACUGUUUAUUGUUUAUAUAUAAUAUAUAAUAAUAGGUUUUUCAAUACAUGUUUUUCUGAUACAAUAAUAUAUUUAUAUUACACGCAUAUUAAGCAUAUAUAAAUGAAAAUUAUAGGCUUAGCUUAAUAAUUAAGCUUUGCCUAUAAUAAAAUGAAUAGACCACAUCAAAAAUUAAAUAGAUAUGUAAAAAGCUUUAUAUAUAUAGUUUUAUAUGUACAAAAUUCGUAACACAUAUAUACAUAGAGUUUUUUCUCCCAAUGUCUACAAACGAUACAAAUGAUCAUCGUUGUUUGGAAUAAGAGUUUCGUUGCUGUUGAAGUGAAACUCGCCGUUUGGAUUGAUCACUUGGUCGCGGAGAAAUCCUGCUAUCGUCUCUUGGAUAGCUUUGAUUCGGUCUUGUUGUAGGACCUUUUCCCUCAGCCAUUCCGUCUUUAAUUUGAAAUAAAUUAAAAAGGUAUUAGUUAUCUAAGUUGUUCAAUAUAAUUCAGGAGAUAAUGAAAAGAGACAUGUAACGUACUCUGAGCGUCUCUAUGGGUGUUUGAUUGACUUGUGCCAUCAUGAAUUUACACACGUAAUAUGCACAUAGAUUGUUCCCCCCUUCUUGUCUUAAACACCACUGUACGAUAUAUAUAUAUAUAAAUAUUCACGACCACGACAAUAAAAAGGCUAAAAGUUAGCGAAAGUUUGUUAGCUAGUAGAACUUACUUGUGGAUGUAUUAUGUUAAGCGGCGCUUUACAUCCACUGAGAUGUUCACGGUCAAUGAAUCUUUCCCAAACCCUAUACACAGCCAUUGUGGAUCGUGAACUAAUAAUUACAGAGUCAUAUUAUGAUAUUUUUGUAGCUGAGAUCGACAUUACGUACCUUUGAAUAAUGUUUACCAUUUGUUGAUAAUUUUCUUGUGGUUUUCUCAUUGAGUCAAAGAUUAUCAACCGGUUCUUGGGAAUUUCAAUGACCAUGAGUAUCCAGUGAAAGCUGUUUACACACACAUAUAUAUAGUCAGUCCUAUAAUGUAAAAUAAAAUAUGCAUGCACUUAAUAACUAUAUAACUAACUCGAAGUUGAAGGGGAAGAGUAUUUUUUGUUUUUCUUUUUGGUUUACAAAGAACCUCAUAAGAUUGGUGCAGACUUCUGUCUCAUGAUCUGCUGUCCACACCUGCGGAGCCUUGAAAACAAUAUAAGGGUUAACGAACCCAAUACUAUUGUCAUUUUUCAUUCUGAGCUCUCUCAUUUGGUGCCUGCAUAUAUACAUACAAAUCCUAAGUGUGUAAGGAUUAUAUACAUGUAAUUAAAGAAGUUAGAAGUAUAAUAAAAAGAAAAAAAUACUUACAGACAAAAGCAGCUGACAAGAGAUUUGUCAAGAGCGUCGAGGUGGCAUAAUUGGUGCAAUUCUUCGAACUGCACGUAUAUGAGGUCAUCUCCACGGAAGUAGUGAUGUUGUCUAAUACGAACAGAAAUCCAAUUAUCUUCCCUUUUAGACGCCUCAAUGCACCAUUUGUUUAUUGCAAACAUUUGUGUGCCGAGCUCGUGUAAACGCUUAGGGUCGAAUAGACUCCUGCCCGGUUCAUAUCUUGCCCUCCAUUGAUUAACUACCUCGGCUUUUUCAAAUGUUUGACAUCCAAGAAUGGCGGCAAUUUCUUCCAUAUUUAAACCGCUCUGUCCAAAGUAACGCUCAAGCGAGUCUAGCUCAGACAACACUAAGGAUUUUUUUGGCAUCAAGUCUUCAUUUGAGCCGUAUUGAUUUGGCACAAUCAAAGGGGGCACCGGUUUUGAUACUUCUCCGAGCUGUGGGACCCCCUUUCCUACUCUCUUCUUAGUAGGCUGUGAAGACUUGACCAGAGACCGCUCAUAGUCCGAAAGUGCUGGCUUUUUCUGAGCUUCGCGUUGCUUCUUUUGAUGGUCCGCCACCUUCUGCCUCAGUUCCGAUGGCUUCACAUAAAAGUACGGCUUUUCUGGGUUAAGCCGUUUUUCCCUAUCCUCCUUUAUUUUAUCAAAAAAUUGUUGGACCUCAGCUUUGGAUGUAGCAAUUACCUCCUCUUCACUCUUUUCGUAAGGUAAUUUUUCUGGCGUCUUAGCUCUCUUUGCUGAGGCAGCCUUCUUUGGAGGUAGGACCGAUGACUUCGGUCCUUCUUGGGCGGACCGCUUCUUACUACCUCGCUUUGGAGGCGAGGGGACCGACCGUGCACUCUAUGGAGAGGGCGGUGCAGGCGGUGGAGGUGGUGGGACAACUAAUGGCCUUAGGUAGACAUCUAUGUCAUUGCCAGGUUGCUUCGGUCCUUGGAUAAGCACCGGCAUCAUAAUAAACUUCCGCUUCAUGCAUAGCCAUGAAGGAAGGUUGUAGAUACAUAGAGUAACUGGCCAAGUGCUGUGACUACUGCUCUGCUCACCGAAAGGAUUCAUACCAUCUGUACUUAAGGCGAACCGCAAGUUUCUAGCAUCAUUUGCAAAAUCUGGGAAUUCUCUGUCUAUCGCUCUCCACUGGGAUCCAUCGGCAGGGUGUCUCAGCAUAUUGUCUAUCUUACGGUCUUCUUUAUGCCACCGCAACAACUUUGCAUUGUCCUUAUUUCUGAACAGACGUUUUAAUCGUGGUAUUAUAGGAGCAUACCACAUAACCUUGGCUGGAAUUUUCUUCCUAUGACGUUCUUCACCCUCAACAUCGCCAGGAUCAUCUCGUCUAAUCUUAUACCAUGAUGCCUUACAUACUGGACAUGCAUCCAAAUUCUCGUAUUCCUCCCCACGGUAGAGGAUGCAGUCAUUAGGACAUGCGUGUAUCUUCUGGAUUUCUAAUCCCAAAGGGCAGACAACCUGUUUUGCUUCAUACGUAGUGGUGGGCAAUUCGUUGCCUUUCGGAAGCAUCUUUUUUAUGAUCUUCAAUAACUGCCCAAAUGCCUUGUCAGAUGUACCAUUCUUUGCCUUCCAUUGCAGCAAUUCUAGUGUGGUACCCAGCUUUUUUUGCCCCUCUUCAGCAGUGGGAUAUAGCGAUUUCCUGUGGUCCUCUAGCAUGCGCUCGAACUUGGCUUUCUCUUUAUCACUUUCACAUUCUCUUUGUGCAUCACGGAUGGCAUCACCAAAAGCAUCAUCGCCCCGAUCAUCUUCUGCCGCCACCUCUUCUUCAUUAUCUCCCCCCAUUGCAACAUCAUUGAAGCCACCGUACUGAGCAAUAAUAUUGGCAUGGUCCAAUUCUUCUUCUUCUUCUUCUUCACCUUCAUCCAUUAUAAUCCCGCUUUCUUCAUGUUUGGUCCAACAAAUAUAGUUUGGUACGAAACCAGACUUUAAUAAGUGUGAAUGAAGAGUUCUUGAGUUAGAAUAUUCCGUCAAAUUCUUGCACACGGCACAUGGACAGCACAUGAAACCGUCCCUCUUAUUUGACUCGGUCACACUUAAGAAAUAGUGCACGCCAUUAAUGAACUCUUCGGAGCGCCGAUCGACAUUAUACAUCCAAUUACGUGUUACCAUCUGCAUUAAAGAUAACAUAUAUAUUAUGAAAACCAUGCACACAUAUAGUUUCUCAUCUUAUUGCACAACAUGUCUAAGAUACAUAGUUGAUUAAUUUAGGAAAGCUUGGCUACAACAAAUACAAUCGCAACUAGCAUUAAAAAACAAAACUAAAAUGCACUUAAGCAACAUAAUUAGUUCGCGUCCGAUCCCAACUAUAAUAGAUAGAUCAUUCGCUUGAUCAACAUCAUUGAACUCAUUUCGUCGGCUCACUGCCUCACCACCUUCAGCCUCAACCACCUGUGCAAAAGAUUUCUUAAUGUGUUCAAUGUAUUCUUCCUCUCAGUACCAACCUGUACAUCCGCCGGUACCGUCCCACUGAAAUUAAAAGAGAGAAUCAAAAGUUUAAUUAAUAUCAUUUAAAAAAAUAUGCACAUAUAUAAGCAAAUGUCUGGAAAUAACUCACAUUACGAUCUAGACACUUGUAGAAUAUACGACCCUUGUUUACUCCCUCUUUCGACACUUUGUACUCCAUCAAAAUCUUCUGCCCACACUUGCCACAAGUAAUGAGAGGGAGUUCCGGACGGUAUCGCUUUUGAACCCGUUGAGAGACCGAAGACCCGGUCACGGUUGCCAUCUACUAUCCAUACUCAAUUUUUAAACAAUUAUAAAUUCCACAUUUACUAGUAAACAUGUAUGAUACAAUGGACAUUAUAUGUAGUAAUAAAAAUAAAUCAAGUGAUAUUAACAAACCAAUUAAUUUGAACUAUCCUACUUUCUAUGAUCAUAAAAAUAUACUAUAAUUCAUUCUUGCAAAAUACAUUAAAACUAGGUCAACCAUGAAAUAUGAUAUAUAUAUAUAUAUAUAUGGAUACUAAUUCAUGUGAAUGAUUUAAAAUAACAAAGUGGAUUUGAGCUAAAAAAUGAUGGGAACAUCACAAGCCAAAAACAACAUGAAAAAGACAAGAAAGGCUGAAGUUAGUCACCUCCAAGCACGAAGAGACGAUGACGGAGUCGAAGAAGAUCAACGAUGGGCGUUGGAGAUGAAGAACAAAUGAAGAACAAGCAAGAAGAAGCUCCAAGAACAACAAUGGUGCUCUCGGUUUCAAAUAGGCAGAGGGGAGGAGGGAGCCGGCCUAUAAACCGGACCUUUAGCACCGGUUCAGGGCAAAAACCGGUGCUAAAGGGUUACCUUUUAGCACCGGUUUGUAACACAAACCGGUGCUAAAGGGUUUGCCUCGGCCCGUGGCUCUGGCCGGUGCUAAAGGGGUCUUUAACCCCGGGCCGCAAAAAGGCCGAGGUUUUUGGCCAUUUUGAGCAUCGACCAAUGCCUCAUUCUGUAAUUAAGUGAUAUAUAUAAUUCUCUCAACCGAUAUCCAUGUCAGUGAAAGCCAAUUUACCGGCACGGACGAGCCGGCGUGUCGACCAGCUGGACCACGUGUAUAGAAUGUUGCACGCAUUGACGGACACAUGUUCCAAAAUAUCCAGCUGUUUGAUCGAAUUUCACACAUUCAGCAAGAUUCUAGCGUUGGCUAGAAAUCGUAUUGACUAUUGACUAAUACAUUGGUAUGUUUGGUUGCUAAUUACAAUAUGAUCUUAUCCAAUUUCUUUAAGCAUGACAGAGCAGCGGCUCUUAGGAACACUUCCAAAUACACAUGUGGUCACAAAUAAUGGUCGGCCGGCGAGAAAGUCUCCUAGAAACUAUAUAUAAUUUCUAUAUUUAUUAAUUUUUAUAGAUAAUAUAUAAAAAAUUUAUGGUUUCGAUGAAUAGUUUCAAUAGAAUAAUUUUUUAUCCAAUCACAUUUAUUAUAUCUCCAUUUUCAACCAAUCAUAUCACUUAAUGUAUUGUAUGUUGUGUAGACAUGGUUUCUAAUUUAGGUCAGUCUCAACUCUCAAUGCAUAGUUUCAUGGUACAGUUACUAAGACUAUAAACUAGGUAAGCGAGCCAUAUGAGUUUCAUGGGGAUGAAACUCCUCUCUCAUCUGAUGAAACUACUUCUUCAUUUAAUGACUCUGCCAAGUUAGCAAUUUUACUUAUGUGGCACCCUAUUUAAUGCACAUGACACUCUCAUGAACACAUGCAUUGAGACUAGCCUUAGACCUAGUUUCUAUGAUUUUUGCUCUUUCUUCAAUAACUAUCUUGUCACAUCAGUAAAAUACUUAGGCUAGUCUCAGUGGCUUGUUUUAAUGCACUGUUUCCAAAACAAAUCCGCUGACAAGGCAUCAAUGAAACGAAUAAUGAAACAACCUCCACAAUGCAUGAGUUUCAUCUUGAUGUUUCCUAGGCUAGGCAAAUCAUUUAAUUACUGCAAAAUGAUUGGAUCACAUGCAAGAUGGUGAAACGAUUUAGCCCUAAGUGGGGAUUUCAUCCAAUUUCACCGCGUGGGAAACAACGACCGCGGGUGAAACUACUUCCUUCUCUCUCCUCUUUAUUUCAUGCAAAAAGUGCAAUUUUACUGACACGACGCUCUAAUAAAUGUGCAUGACAUCCUGGUGAAACCUCCACUCAAACUGGCCUUAGAUGACACUACAAUUAAUAUCAUUAUGUAACCAUGGCUUUACUGUGCACGCCGUGCAAUACCAAGCAUAGAUACGGUCAGCACACGCAGCUUGACCAUAUAGCUAGCUAGGUCGCUCGUGGCUUCGUGUUAGGUAGCUCAAUAACACCUACAAAUAGGAGGGUUGGCCGCUGGAAACAAUGGCCACGGCAACAACUGCAGGUCAACCAAUCAACAUAUACGGCCGCGCGCCCUCGAUCACAUGGCCAUGACGAUGGCGACCAGAUCAGUAACCGGAACGGCGGUGCUGUGCUUUCUUGUGGCCUCGCUCCUCCUGGCCGCCUCCUCCUCCGUUAUUGCUGCAACUGCAACGACUGAAGCAGCAGCGGCCUACGGUAGGUAGUCGCGGUGUUCAUACAGUCCCUCAUGCUUUCACCGAACGAACACAGCUACGUACGCUGCUGCAUCUAUCUAUAUAUUCUUAUAUAUGAUCUGAAUAUAUCUGUCGUCGACCGUGCCCUGGUGCAGGUGCAGGUGCAGGCAGGAAGAUGAAGCAGACAGCAGCUGCGGGAGCUGUGGCAACGAAGCAGGAUGACUACGGCUACCCUGGAACUAAUGAAUUACCACCGGGAUACCCGACGGCGCCUGGAAUGAAUUAGUAGUUGCCUCUCUUGAUCUGGCAGCUAGCUACCUGCCGCGGUUGGUCGGUGGAGAACCCUGCAGGCUGCAGCUAUAUAUAUAUAUAUACUAUACAAUACAAUACAUCAUGCGCAUGAUGCAGAAUUACCAUCUCGCUGAAUACAGAUACAGAAAUUAGAUUGCUUUUGAUACAAUCCAACCUCAUGAGUCAUGUCUCGCGCGCUAAGUAAUUGGCAGCUACGUACGCGAGCCUGCCUGUUACACUGUGCUAUACAGCAACUGUACGUAUGCUAUAAGCUGUAUUUUGUUUGAAAUAAAGACCAGCUUUGGGGCACCGGGCAUGCACCAAUACUCUCAAUCUUCUUAAACGACUAUCCUUGUCUUUUCGUGAAAUAUAAUCCUGGAA